UCUCUUCUCUUCACACACACAGCGAUGGCGAACCAGAUCUUCUCUCGCGUCAUCCCCAAAACCCUAACCCUAACCACCUUCCUCUCUCGCUCCUUCUCCACCACAACCACCAAUCCCUCUUCCUCCGCUCUCUCCUUUCUCCGCCGUCUCCGCCCUCUCUCCGCCACCGCCAUCACCUCCCGUCACAUCCUCCUCCCUUCCUUCCGCGCUUUCUCCACACGCCCUACCACCUCUUCCCUCAACGAUCCUAACCCUAAUUGGUCUAAUCGUCCACCAAAGGAAACGAUUUUGCUCGAUGGAUGCGAUUUUGAACACUGGCUUGU
rnacentral:lncRNA from 1 species